rnacentral:rRNA from 1 species
UGGGGAAUAUUGGUCAAUGGGGGAAACCCUGAACCAGCAACGCCGCGUGAAGGAAGAAGGCCUUCGGGUUGUAAACUUUUUUGACGAGGGACGAUAAUGACGGUACCUCGAAAACAAGCUCCGGCUAACUACGUGCCAGCAGCCGCGGUAAUACGUAGGGAGCGAGCGUUGUCCGGAAUUACUGGGUGUAAAGGGCGCGUAGGCGGGGAUACAAGUCAGAUGUGAAAUAUCCAGGCUCAACCUGGGGGCUGCAUUUGAAACUGUAUUUCUUGAGUGAUGGAGAGGCAGGCGGAAUUCCGAGUGUAGCGGUGAAAUGCGUAGAUAUUCGGAGGAACACCAGUGGCGAAGGCGGCCUGCUGGACAUUAACUGACGCUGAGGCGCGAAAGCGUGGGGAGCAAACA